UCUGAAUUGAGGGGGGUUUUGAUAAAUUAUUUUGAUAAAAUUUUGAUAACCGUUCGAAUGCUAAUAAUAAAAACGGGGACGUUAAGCCCCCGUUAAAAUA
rnacentral:ncRNA from 1 species